rnacentral:rRNA from 1 species
GAUGAACGCUGGCGGCGUGCCUAAUACAUGCAAGUCGAGCGAACAGAUGAUGAGCUUGCUCCUCUGACGUUAGCGGCGGACGGGUGAGUAACACGUUGAUAACCUACCUAUAAUACUGGGAUAACUUCGGGCAACCGCAGCUAAUACCGGAUAAUAUAUUGUACCGCAUGGUUCAUUAGUGAUUUACGCUUUUGCUGUCACUUAUAGAUGGUUCCGCGCCGCAUUAGCUAGUUGGUAAGGUAACGGCUUACCAAGGCAACGAUGCGUAGCCGACCUGAGAGGGUGAUCGGCCACACGGGAACGGAGACACGGACCAGACGACUACGGGAGGCAGCAGUAGGGAAUCGUCCGCAAUGGGCGAAAGCCUGACGGAGCAACGCCGCGUGAGUGAUGAAGGUCUUCGGAUCGUAAAACUCUGUUAUUAGGGAAGAACAAAUGUGGAAGUAACUAUGCACGGCGUGACGGUAACUAAUCAGAAAGCCACGGCUAACUACGUG